rnacentral:lncRNA from 10 species
AACUGAACCGACAUGAAGCUAUUCAGAGUGUGUUCACUCCAUAACUUUAGUGAGUCUCUACUGUAUGCACUGGGCAUCCACACCCACCAUCUCAGUCCAUGUGAACAACACGUGGAAGGCAGUGACUUUGAUCUGUUUUGAGCAUUGCUGCAACUCCACAACAGAAAACACACAGUAGGUACUAAUAAAUCUGCGGACUCACGGACAAACCAAAUGAAUGAACCUGCCCAACAGCCCUGAGGUGGAAAUUAACCCACCUGACAGAAGAAAGCUAACUUCAGAAGGAGACUUGCCCAAGAUUACACAGCUUGAAAGUGCCAGAAUUACCUCUAGUCCUCAGUUCCCAUUAAUACGACAGAGGCCAUAACACUUCA